CCGGGUACAAGGGCUAUGGAUUGUCAAUGAUGGUAGAUAUUUUCUGUGGAAUACUCAGUGGUGCCAAUUACGCUCACCAUGUCCGGAAAUGGAAGGAAUCUCAUAGACAAACAAACUUGGCAGAUGGUCAACCUGAAGUGUGGGUAGCCGGUGAUCCGGAGAGAGUACACAUGGAAAAAUGUGACAAUCAAGGUGGAAUCUGGUACCAUCCAAACCAAAUUAAAAAUGCCAAUGAUAUAGCUG